UACGGGGGGGGCAAGCGUUGUUCGGAAUUACUGGGCGUAAAGGGCUCGUAGGCGGCCCAAUAAGUCCGACGUGAAAUCCCCAGGCUUAACUUGGGAACUGCGUCGGAUACUGGUGGGCUUGAAUCCGGGAGAGGGAUGCGGAAUUCCAGGUGUAGCGGUGAAAUGCGUAGAUAUCUGGAGGAACACCGGUGGCGAAGGCGGCAUCCUGGACCGGCAUUGACGCUGAGGAGCGAAAGCGUGGGGAGCAAACAGG
rnacentral:rRNA from 1 species